rnacentral:tRNA from 51 species
CGGGGCGUAGCGCAGCCUGGUAGCGUACUUGCAUGGGGUGCAAGGGGUCGAGUGUUCGAAUCACUCCGUCCCGACCA